rnacentral:rRNA from 1 species
AAACUAUAAAAAGUUAUUUUAGUACGAAAGGAGUAAAUAACUAAAAUAUUUUUAUAUA